GGCUGUGCUUCCACCCCUGGACAGUCAGUUCCAGGUCUUCUGGAUUUCCUUCCAAAUGGAAGCUAACAGCAUCCUCCUGCUGCCCAAGGAACAGACAAAACUGCAUUAGAAAUAUCAUUUUUGGCUUAUUGCUUGGCUUCCUUUGACUGCAGUUUGUAUUUAAGUUCCAGCAUGUCCAAAACAGCAGCGCUUGCAGGUGGUGUGACUUCAUCCAGGCCACAGUAGUCUACCAUUAGUCUCCACUCUCCGUUGGCCUUUUGCACUGAUCAUAUGGGACUGUUGAAAGGAUUUUUCUCCUGGGAAGCUGAGAAGUCUCAGAGAAAAGGAAAACAGUUCUUAUCUCAUUUGCUUUUCCUGUGUUGUGGUCAUAUAUGGAAUGUGUUUGGAGAUUGUUUUCCCACAGAUGAUUGUUUCAUUCAGGGUAUGUGACCUAUAUUUUUCCAUAGAGCUUGCUCAACUGGAAAGUUUUGUUGAUUAAUUUUAUUCUGCAUUUGUCCACGCCUAUUCCAGAUUAACAGAAGAUAAAAAGCAAGCAUCUUUCUCAGCCUUCUAAAAUGUAUCCAAAUGUCAAACAUUCAUUAUGAUUUUUAGGAAAUCAGUGUAAUAAAGACUUUUGUGAGAUCUUAUAGAGCGAGAAAAUGAUCACUAAAAUUAACAGUUCUCAGGGUCUUAUCUUUUUGUCUCCAGCUGACUGCAGACAUUCUCACACAUCUCUUCCCCUUUAGUUAUUUGUUUGUUUUUUACAAAAAGCUACGCUUCAGUAUUCAUGAAAAUCUUGCUUAGAGGAGGGGUCAGUCAGAAAGUGACAGUAUUAGAAACUCAAUAUGUAUUUUUGAACUCUCUGAUCAAUAUUAGAAAUGCAAGUGCAAUUUUCAAAUAUCUACCUUAAAUAUUCAUUUAUAAGAAAUUGAUUUACCAUGGAUUUUUUUAUUCUGGAAACUUGUUCUACUUGUUCUAGUUAUACAUAUCGGAGAUGCUAUGAUAGCUGCCAUAGAGAACAGGGAAAUACAAUAACUACAGAAAUAUUUUUUAUUUGUCUUAUGCUCCUGAAUUGAUGAAAAUU